UACAGAGGUGCCGAGCGUUAGGCGGAAUCACUGGGCUUAAAGCGUGUGUAGGCGGGCGGGCAAGUACCUUGUGAAAUCCCACGGCUCAACCGUGGAACGGCUGGGUAUACUGCCUGUCUUGAGCCAACUAGGGGCGAGCGGAACAGACGGUGGAGCGGUGAAAUGCGUAGAUAUCGUCUGGAACGCCGAAGGUGAAAACAGCUCGCUGGGGUUGUGCUGACGCUGAGACACGAAAGCCAGGGGAGCGAACGGG
rnacentral:rRNA from 1 species